UAAAAAGGGAAAUAGAGGUUAUUAGCCUAUUACAUGUUUAGGAUGUUUAGAUAUUGCUGCAGCAAUGUGAAUUAAGGAUUUAUUUUCAGAGUUAGAUUCUAGGCCUCAGCCACGUGCUAUUUGAGCGCAUGUUGCUAGCUUGCCUUCUGGCUAAACCUUAAGUUAGCUACAUUAAACCUUUCAAUGUAGCUUCGUCCCAUGCUGUAUGAUGAUACUGUUGGUAGGGACAUCUGAAUAAAUCUGAAGAGUUACCACCAACAACUGACUUCAUGGGACAGAAGCUAAAGACUCGGGCCGUUGAUUUUAGCUGCGUGCUUCCUGCUGCAGCAAAGCUCCGUAAACUAGUUUUACGUCUGGUCUAAUUAAAGCUGUUAGAGUUGUGGGUUAGAUGUUUCGAAACGUAAGUGCUCUUUAAAUGAGUUGAGAUCACAAUUUUAUGCAAAAUUUGGAUCAGACUGAGGCCUAUUUAGAGUUGAUAAAUGAUAGUGUGGUGAUGUACUUAUGCAGUAACAAAUGUGGUUUUGCAUUUAAAUUAUUUUUUUUCUUUUUGUUUAAGGUUGAUGGUCCUAUCAAUAUUUAGGAACAAGUAUCAACAGGGUUUAUGAUGAUGAUGUCAAUAUGUGGAAACGAGCCUUUACUCUACAGGUUUCAGAGAAGGAUGCAUGAAGGACCUGCAGGAUAAAGAGUAAAUCUUGAAUGAAGAAACUCCUGGGUUGAUCAGGUUCUUGGACUGCUCUUCCCUCCUGUUCAUUCUCUGAUCAGUUGAAGUGAUUGCUGGACAUAUGCACCAGUGACCCACAAGGAAGAAUGGGUUUAUAUGGUUGGAGGUGAAGGCCUUCACACCUGGAGAUUCUCCAGAGGCUUGAUGCAGCAUGUAGGACUGAGUCCACCUGUGAAGCAGAAGACAUUAAACUGACAUGGUAUUCACCUCACCUUGGACUGCAGUGUGGAAGUAGCAAAGCAAGGACAAACUGGGACAUGUAUUAGUGAAGUGGUAAGUGUUGUCAAAGUUUAUUAGAUUUAAUGUUUUAUUUUUAUUUUUUUUAAGCUGACCAAUCAACCUGU